CACACCCCAAGCUUGGCUUGAUGUUGGACGACGUCUGUAACGAGACGGGUCUGGAACGUGUAGGCGCCGCCGCCGGACCACGAGCGUAGCAAGACGCAAGUCAGUCGCUUCUGUGGGCACGGUUGGACGGCCGCCGAGAGCACCUGGUAACGCAGGGCUCGAGCAACGAUUUUUA
rnacentral:misc_RNA from 1 species